rnacentral:tmRNA from 1 species
GGGGGUGUUCUGGAUUCGACCUUGCGCCCGCGUGCAUCGUGGCAUGCAGGGGGUGAUGGCUUCCCCUUAACCCGUCAUCAAAAAACAAACGCCAACAACGAAGAACUGGCUCUCGCUGCUUAAUAAACGGCAGUGACGAUCUCACCCUGACACCUGCUAGGGGAUGGGAUCGACGACAGCAGGCAUAGUCGCGCGAGGUAUCUCUGGUCUCGCGAUCGUACCUUCAACCAGGGGUUGGCCGGCGCUUAAGCGCGCGCUUUCGCGUAACGUCGGCGAGAUAAAAGAGGCGCUAAGCAUGUAGAGGCGGUGCGCAACGGUACAAGGGACGCGGGUUCAAUUCCCGCCACCUCCACCA